UACGUAGGGGGCCAGCGUUGUCCGGAUUUACUGGGCGUAAAGAGCGCGUAGGCGGUUUGGUCAGCGGAGGGUGAAAUCCCGGGGCUCAACUCCGGGGCUGCUCUCCGAACUGCCAGACUAGAGUACGGGAGAGGAUAGUGGAAUUCCUGGUGUAGCGGUGGAAUGCGUAAAUAUCAGGAGGAACACCCGUGGCGAAGGCUGCUAUCUGGAACGUUACUGACGCUGAGGCGCGAAAGCCAGGGGAG
rnacentral:rRNA from 1 species